UUUGGUGAUUGGAGCUAUCUUGUCUACCUUUUGUUGGAAGGAACUUGGAAGAACUAUCUCUAUUUUAAAGUCAUCACAUCGGUUAAUUCGCACAUGUAAAAAUUCUUGGAUGGCUGAAUCAGAGAUGCAACCACCAUACUUCAUGCCGUCGGGGAUUUUGAAUGGAUUUUGCCCAUUCCCUAGCUAGAUGCAAUCACCAUACGUCAUGCCACCAAGGAUUAUGAAUGGAUUUUCCCCGUUCACGAGUCGGAUGUUGGAGUACCAUAAUAGAUCUCAUGGAACCAUUUUGAGUCAGGGGUCAUCAAACUCUUAGCAUCUUGGGAUGAAUGAAUCAAACAAUUACGAAGGCAUAGACAAUGCACGGUCGCAGCCUAAAUAGUCGGGAAUGUGCAUACCACUUUAAAGAAAAACCGAGGUCUCUCCCUCCCCCACCCUACCAAAAGCAUUGAAUCCCUUGUUUAGAUGAAUGUGUGCACUCAUCAAGGGCUUGGAGUGGCUUUACUAUUGCUCUCAACAUGUGAAGUUAGUUUAAAAUUUCAAAAACUAAUUGCUCAGAUGAAAACUUGUUAGUAUUCUAUAAUUGAGUUUAAUAUUUGUAAAUACUAACUUGCAUUUGAUGCAGCUUUAGAAGCACGACCUCCAUAAAAAUUAGUU